rnacentral:lncRNA from 1 species
CCCUCUUAAAUAUUCAAAUUUGCAUAAAUAUCCUUUCAAUAUUGAUAUCUGCAUGUAUACCCUCAUAAAAUAUUUUUUUUUGCAUAUAUACUCAUAUCAUCUAACAUCGUUAAAAAUUAAUGAUUUAAAAUUAACAUGACUAAAAUAUUCUUAUGGAUAGAUAUGCAAAAAAAAAUUUAUAAGGAUAUAUAUGUAAAUAAUAAUUUUAUGAGAGUAUUCACGCAAAUUUGAAUAUUUGAAAAGAUAUAGACACAAAAAACCCUUAGCAUAAAUACACCUCUCUUGGUUCAUUAAUUUUUUUAUUCUAAUAGAAAAAAAGUAACAUAUAUAAUUAAAAUAAUAAAUUUAUUUAAUUUAUUAAUUUAUAUAGAUAAAAUAAUCUUUUUAUCAAAUGAUAGAUUAAAAUUAUUUUAUUUAGAAGAUAAACAUAUCGUAAUCAUCCAUAUUUCUUCUAAUAUAUAAUAAUAUACUUCUAAGAAAAGUAUUUAAAUCUGA